rnacentral:lncRNA from 1 species
UGGGGCUUUGAGUGGACUUUCUAUAGAGGUUGGAUACCUAUGCAGCUGUGAGCAACUAGCGAGGACCCUCUCUAUCAUAUUUUGCAGUAGCGAUGAUUAUCGAUCUACACUCAGAUAUCGAGUUUUGAACUCAGAUUAGAAGUAGAUGUGAUCUACUGCUCACAUAUAUGCAUGCAAAUUUUAUCUUCAGUAUUUUUUAGAUUUUAUAUGCAAUAUAUGAUGUCAUAGAUCCUAGAGU